CUCUUCCUCCAUCACACUCUCACACAGGUACAUCGCACAUAGAUCGAACUCCAAUAUGACCAGAUCAAACACCGAUCAAGACACCAAACGGUUCCAUAUGGAAGUCGUCAUCACCGGCGCUAUCAACAAGUGAUGGGUUCGUCAACACCGUCUUCUAGAUCCAAACCAUUCUCGGCCGAAGCUUAGUUCGGGUACAGGGCCGACGAGAUCGGAAGAGUUCGACAUCCCCGAUGAAUAUCUUCGUAGAAAGACAACUAUAGUAAGGAGUAACUUGAAUCCAGUCUCGAAUGAGGAGCUCAUGUUGUCUGUUCCUUGGCGAUAUGGAGAAUUGAAGGCAUGGAGCUUUAUAGUUGACUUGGAUCUAGUGACCUCAAGGAUAUGAUUUGCAAGCAGAUCAGAAAUCAAAGCAUGUGCUUGUCUUCACUGCAGGUAUCUACAACUUGAAAAUA